GCGAGAGUGGCGGAAUUGGUAGACGCGCUGGUUUUAGGUACCAGUAUCUUUUGAUGUGAGAGUUCGAGUCUCUCCUUUCGCA
rnacentral:tRNA from 1 species